UCUGUCUUGAUCAUGUAUGAAGGUUUCUCUUUCUUGAUAAUUUAUGAAGGUUUCUCUUUCUUGAUAAUGUAGGAAGAUUUCUCUGUCCUGAUAAUGUAGGAAGGUUUCUCUGCCUUGAUAAUGUAUGAAGGUUUCUCUUUCUUGAUAUUGUAUGAAGGUUUCUCUGUCCUGAUAAUUUCAAGAUUUCUCUGUCCUGAUAAUGUAGGAAGAUUUCUCUGUCCUGAUAAUGUAGAAAUGUUUCCCGGGCCUGAUAAUGUAGGAAGGUUUCUUGAAGUCUUUCGUAGUGUGGCUAUUUCUCCUCAGAUGAUCAUGUUGAAUGCCUGUGGUAUGGAAUAUUAUGGAGAACAUUUUAGGGUAGAGAUAACAUCAAUACCACAAACACAUAGUACAUUAAAUUUAUGGGAAAAUUGCCAGUGCCACUAUUGCUACAGUAUAAUUUUCCAUAUGUAAUAUAAUGUAUCUAAGGAUGCUUAAUAUACAGUUCAUAAUUCAUGGAAUAGUUAUCAUACCCAGCACACCCCUAACUACAGUAACUACAGUGUGUUCCCUCUAUUUAGGACCCAGUUGUCGCCUCAGCCUUUGCGCAGAUAUGCAGUGUGUGUGGGUGUGUGUGUGUGACAGUCCCCUCCCACAGUGGAAUGUGUAUUAUUAGCCC
rnacentral:lncRNA from 1 species